rnacentral:rRNA from 1 species
AAAUUGAAGAGUUUGAUCAUGGCUCAGAUUGAACGCUGGCGGCAGGCCUAACACAUGCAAGUCGAACGGUAACAGGAAGCAGCUUGCUGCUUCGCUGACGAGUGGCGGACGGGUGAGUAAUGUCUGGGAAACUGCCUGAUGGAGGGGGAUAACUACUGGAAACGGUGGCUAAUACCGCAUAACGUCGCAAGACCAAAGAGGGGGACCUUCGGGCCUCUUGCCAUCAGAUGUGCCCAGAUGGGAUUAGCUUGUUGGUGAGGUAACGGCUCACCAAGGCGACGAUCCCUAGCUGGUCUGAGAGGAUGACCAGCCACACUGGAACUGAGACACGGUCCAGACUCCUACGGGAGGCAGCAGUGGGGAAUAUUGCACAAUGGGCGCAAGCCUGAUGCAGCCAUGCCGCGUGUAUGAAGAAGGCCUUCGGGUUGUAAAGUACUUUCAGCGGGGAGGAAGGUGUUGUGGUUAAUAACCGCAGCAAUUGACGUUACCCGCAGAAGAAGCACCGGCUAACUCCGUGCCAGCAGCCGCGGUAAUACGGAGGGUGCAAGCGUUAAUCGGAAUUACUGGGCGUAAAGCGCACGCAGGCGGUCUGUCAAGUCGGAUGUGAAAUCCCGGGCUCAACCUGGGAACUGCAUUCGAAACUGGCAGGCUUGAGUCUUGUAGAGGGGGGUAGAAUUCCAGGUGUAGCGGUGAAAUGCGUAGAGAUCUGGAGGAAUACCGGUGGCGAAGGCGGCCCCUGGACAAAGACUGACGCUCAGGUGCGAAAGCGUGGGGAGCAAACAGGAUUAGAUACCCUGGUAGUCCACGCCGUAAACGAUGUCUACUUGGAGGUUGUGCCCUUGAGGCGUGGCUUCCGGAGCUAACGCGUUAAGUAGACCGCCUGGGGAGUACGGCCGCAAGGUUAAAACUCAAAUGAAUUGACGGGGGCCCGCACAAGCGGUGGAGCAUGUGGUUUAAUUCGAUGCAACGCGAAGAACCUUACCUGGUCUUGACAUCCACAGAACUUUCCAGAGAUGGAUUGGUGCCUUCGGGAACUGUGAGACAGGUGCUGCAUGGCUGUCGUCAGCUCGUGUUGUGAAAUGUUGGGUUAAGUCCCGCAACGAGCGCAACCCUUAUCCUUUGUUGCCAGCGAUUAGGUCGGGAACUCAAAGGAGACUGCCAGUGAUAAACUGGAGGAAGGUGGGGAUGACGUCAAGUCAUCAUGGCCCUUACGACCAGGGCUACACACGUGCUACAAUGGCGCAUACAAAGAGAAGCGACCUCGCGAGAGCAAGCGGACCUCAUAAAGUGCGUCGUAGUCCGGAUUGGAGUCUGCAACUCGACUCCAUGAAGUCGGAAUCGCUAGUAAUCGUGGAUCAGAAUGCCACGGUGAAUACGUUCCCGGGCCUUGUACACACCGCCCGUCACACCAUGGGAGUGGGUUGCAAAAGAAGUAGGUAGCUUAACCUUCGGGAGGGCGCUUACCACUUUGUGAUUCAUGACUGGGGUGAAGUCGUAACAAGGUAACCGUAGGGGAACCUGCGGUUGGAUCACCUCCUUACCUUAAAGAA